rnacentral:snRNA from 1 species
GCACAUACUUGGCUGGGAGGCUCUCGUGAUAAAGAACGCAGGAACUCCGUGGUAAGGCCGCCGCAUUGCACUUUAGCAACGGCUGACUCGUGUGGCAACCUCGAGUUGGGGUUAACCAGCAGCUCGAUUUUCCCGUGUGGGGCUGCGUUCGUGCGACCCCGA